rnacentral:rRNA from 1 species
AACGAACGCUGGCGGCAGGCUUAACACAUGCAAGUCGAACGCCCCGCAAGGGGAGUGGCAGACGGGUGAGUAACACGUGGGAACGUGCCCUUCGCUUCGGGAUAGCCUCGGGAAACUGGGAGUAAUACCGAAUACGCCGUAUUGGGAAAGAUAUAUCGGCGAAGGAUCGGCCCGCGUUGGAUUAGCUAGUUGGCGGUGUAAUGGACCACCAAGGCUACGAUCCAUAGCUGGUCUGAGAGGACGACCAGCCACACUGGGACUGAGACACGGCCCAGACUCCUACGGGAGGCAGCAGUGGGGAAUCUUGGACAAUGGGCGCAAGCCUGAUCCAGCCAUGCCGCGUGAGUGAAGAAGGCCUUAGGGUUGUAAAACUCUUUCGCCGGUGAAGAUAAUGACGGUAACCGGAGAAUAAGCCCGGCUAACUUCGUGCCAGCAGCCGCGGUAAU